rnacentral:rRNA from 1 species
GACAGGGGGUUCGAGCGUUAAUCGGAAUCACUGGGCUUAAAAGGGUGCGUAGGCGGGCUUGUAAGUGUCGUGUGAAAUCCCCCGGCUCAACCGGGGAACUGCGGGGCAAACUGCAAGUCUUGAGGAAGCUAGAGGCCGGUAGAACGAUUGGUGGAGCGGUGGAAUGCGUAGAUAUCAAUCGGAAUGCCGAAAGUGAAGACAGCCGGCUGGGGCUUUCCUGACGCUGAGGCACGGAAAGCCAGGG